rnacentral:rRNA from 1 species
AUGAUGAGCAAUGUGGAUGGCACACUUUGCUUAUUGUAUGAAACCUGCUUUGCAUGUGCAGACCAAAAUUGUGCAAUGGAAAUUGCCAUAGAGAAUGUGUUGCCAAAUACAGCACACAAGUGGUGCAAGUGGCACAUGUUGAAGAAGGCGAAGGAGUCCCUGGGUCCGCUGUAUUCAAAGAAGAGUGAUUUUCAGGUAGAGUUCCACAAAGUUGUUAACCACAUGUUAACAAUUGAUGAGUUUGAGGAACCAUGGAAGAUGCUCAUCAAGAAGUACAACCUGAGAGCUCAUAACUACAUGACCAAUCUCUACGAGAUCCGACACAAAUGGGCGAAACCAUACUUCAAAGGAGUGUUCUGUGCGAAAAUGACUAGUACUCAACAUAGUGAAAGAGCAAACCACAUGUUGAAGAACUAUGUCCCUCCUGGGUGCCCUAUGCACAUGUUUGUGAGGAAGUACAUGUUGCUGCAGUUUGACGGAGAAGCUGAGGAAAAUUAUGAGGAGAAAAGAACCAGAAUUGGAAGGAAACUAAGGGCAUUUCUGGUUUGCACUAAUUACUUUGCAUAUGUCUGUAGCUAA